CCAGAUUGGAAGCAACAGAUUUGAGCAGCAGCUGCAAAGAUUCACACUGAAAUCCUCUGGAAUUCAUUGACAAUGAUAUAUUGGCAAGGUUCAGACAUAAUGCUAAACCAUGGUUUCACAUUAUGUCUGAAUCCAAGCCUUUCCACACUCCACGAUUUGGUUGGGCCCACAAACCAGGAUCCGAAAUCACAGAUUGAAACUAGUUUGCAAACGACUAUUGGUGGUGUUGUGGUUUCUGUUAUGUGUGAAUUCACAAACUAUUGACAAAACACAGUUAGGACCAUUGCUUCAACUCAAGAAACUGCUGCAUCAUUGAAACCGGAGUUGUUCCACCUCAAGAAUGUGAACAUGAAGCUGAAUCCUGAGCAGAAGGGAAAGAAAAGCAGAGAAGCAGCACUAAACCAUGGUUUAACUGUUUAUCUAGAAGCUCAAAUCAUGGGGAGGGUUUUAAGAUAUGGUUAGUACAAACCAUGGUUUCCCAUUAUGUCUGAACCCAGCCAUUGUUUAAGGAACACUAACAUGAAUUCUCUUCCAAAAGAAGUUUAAAACUUAUGACAAUUGCCUACAGGGAAACAUGUAUUGCAAACCUUUUUCAAAUAUUCAAAGUAAAGAAGCCAACAGUGCAAAUCAACAAUUCCCCCCUAUACUCUGAUUCUCUUGUAUGAUGCCAUUCUUUUUAUCUAAUAUUCUGUUAAAAAUUUUACAUAUUUGUUAAAUGGAAAUUCUUAUCACAACACCAAUGUUUAUCAGUUGAUCAAACUCUAGCCAAAGAAUAAAUGAAAAAGUGCUCUGUAUUUUUCUAAACUGUCUCAAUUUAGUAUUUUUUGUAAAUUAGUUUUUACAGAGAGGUCAAUAAUAUCCUCACAGGUUUGUGUUCUCUUCCCUUUUCAGGGGAUUUUGAUAGUAGGAAAGUACAUUUGCCUUUUUCCAGCAAGAUUUAAAAUGCUGUGGUGCCCCAGACUGGCUCAUGAUAGCCUGGGUGUUUUAUCUUGUUUAAGCAGAUGCAUGAUGAACAAUAAAAUGGAAUCUAAGAUGUAAAUUGUCUUGGGAUAGAUCCAGAUAGUCAGAUCUUUCUUAAGGAAUAACAACAAAUACAUGUCAAUUACCAAAUGUAAAGCAAUGUGCCUCUAGAAUACUUUACUACUGUAACUCUAGAAUAUUAAAAAUGUAAAUCAUUUCUCUCACAAAUUCUUGAA